UCCGUCCCUCUCCUCCGGCGGCCCGCCGUGACACAGGCCAGAGAACGCUGAGACAGCGAGGACUGGCCCUGCCUGGCACGGAGAACACCGCUCCGCAGCUGGAAUGCUGCUAGGAGGGCAGCACCGGUUCUAGGCUGGCUGCGGUAAUGAGGAGGAGCAAGACCGUAAUUGCACCGUGCAGGUUGUUCUCAAUGGGCGCCGUCAGAUCGCCUCCCACAUGAUCUCGUAUGCGCCACACGCGCAGGAACACAUGAAGAACCAUUUUACAAUGAUUGCUAGGGUUUAUAUUUUAACAUACCUCGAGUUUAUGUUGAACCUGACAGCUAUAAAGUUUGUGGCUUAGCUGUAUCCGUAUGCUGUUUGGGAUUCAGAGUGGCAUUCAGAUGGUCUGGCAUUAACAGCAUAAUUAAUAGGUUUUCUUUGUGGAAGGAUGUCGUCAUUUCAGUGGAUCAAGGCUUUCUGGUCCAGCUCUAAGAGAGAGGCUGGAGACGAGGAGGCACAGGGGUGACUAUCACUCUCUGCAGCUCCCUGAAAGGAUGUUGUGCCAGGAUUGCAAGGUAACACACUUCAGAAGCAUGACACUGAUAGAACUACAGAAGGCAGUCUUGAUGGAAGAUCACAUCAUAUCAGUUAUGGGGCCUUGUUGUGAGUCUUUUUUGAGAGCAAAGAGAAAUAUUUGUCUGUCGCAUCUGGUAGAUGAUGAGAAGAAAAAGCAUGUGCUGAAAUGGAUCCAUGAACAUAAGCGAUGUUUUUGUGUCAUAGGAGGAAUACACAAUGCCUGCAAUUAUGCUACAUCUGACAUUCUGUGCUCAGUAACAGAAUGUUACUGAAUUCUGCUUGUGACAGGAUCAAGUAAGACUUUGUUUCUGGACUACUUCCAAACGUGAGGUUGGUCUUCAUGAAUAAUCUGCACAUGUUACCCUUCAGGCACCUGUAAAAAGGAAGCACUUAAAAAAAAUUACAAUUUACUUGUUUGCAAGGCCACUAAAUGGAAAUUUUUAAGCCCUUCUUACUCUCUCUUGUUGCAUUAACAAAACCAGAAACCUUCCUGCAGAUGAGAACAGAAUAACCACAAAUAUUCUUGUUGGGUUUAUUCAGGGCCUCAUCAUAUGCUGUAUGCUUCACUACCUGUGUUUCUCUGAGUCUUGAUGGGUGUUCAUUUGAAUUUCCUGCUUUUCCACCACACUAGUUAAACCAUCAGCUUUUUCAGCUUUUUUUGGGUUUUGGGGUUUUUUUUUGGUUGGGUUUUUGUUUGUUUUUUUUUUUUUGCUUUAAGAAAAUUAAACUGUGAGAGACUGCU